UACAGAGACUGCAAGCGUUAUUCGGAUUCACUGGGCGUAAAGGGUGCGCAGGCGGCCAUGUGUGUCAGGUGUGAAAGCCUGUGGCUCAACCACAGAAUUGCCUUCGAUACUGUCGAGCUUGAGACCGGAAGAGGUAAGUGGAACUGCGAGUGUAGAGGUGAAAUUCGUAGAUAUUCGCAAGAACACCAGUGGCGAAGGCGGCUUACUGGUCCGGUUCUGACGCUGAGGCGCGAAAGCGUGGGGAGCAAACAGG
rnacentral:rRNA from 1 species